rnacentral:rRNA from 1 species
AUUGAACGCUGGCGGAAUGCUUAACACAUGCAAGUCGAGCGGGCUGUAGCAAUACAGCUAGCGGCGGACGGGUGAGGAAUACAUAGGAAUCUGCCUCAGAGUGGGGGAUAGCCCGGGGAAACCCGGAUUAAUACCGCAUGAUGUCGUAAGACCAAAGCAGGGGACCGUAAGGCCUUGCGCUUUGAGAUGAGCCUAUGUCGGAUUAGCUAGUUGGCGGGGUAAAAGCCCACCAAGGCGACGAUCCGUAGCUGGUCUGAGAGGACGAUCAGCCACACCGGAACUGAGACACGGUCCGGACUCCUACGGGAGGCAGCAGUGGGGAAUAUUGGACAAUGGGCGCAAGCCUGAUCCAGCAAUUCCGCGUGUGUGAAGAA